UUUAUUAUAAUAAAAGCAUGGGUGGCUUGUUAUUCGGUCACAUAACUUGACCUUCCCCUUUCACAUUCAAAUUAAGGAAUCAUGUGUUUUUUUUUGGCUGUGAAAUCCUUUGUAAUUGAGGUAACCAACAAAAUAUUUCCAUAAAGGGCAUGGUUGUGUGGACUUCUGGUGAAGCUUAGCUAGCUGAAUCUAUAUAUUUUGAUGUCUACUUAAUGAACUAAUUAAAUUUAUACCUAGAGCUAGCAUAUACUGGAUCCAUUUGCUUUGCUUUAUGGCAUGCUUUCUUCUUCUAUUUUAUGUAAUUUAUAAUAUGUGUUUUUGAUAAAUGAUAGGGGCAAUUAAUGUCUAGAUUACAUUAUUUUACAUUAUCAUAAGUAAUGUCAAUGACAUCUGCCUUAUAUGGUCAGGGGUUCAAAACUCAUUAGGUGCAUGUGUAAAUCAUCCAAAAAAAAAGAAGUUAUGAUGAGUACUUUCUAUGAUUUGUACUUAGGCUGUAAGCUGAGACAGUUUGGAAAGUGGGUCAAAGUUUCUUCCUCUUAUACUUUGUAAAAUAUGUGUUGAUUGGAGUGGUGAAAUAUAAGAUAAGUUUAAUAAUAAUAGUUUAAGAACGAUUCAUCCUCUUCACUUGAAACCCUUCUGUGGGGAUUUUUGUGAGUCCACAAUGUUAAUGUUCAUGGUUGUUCAGUUUCCAGGCUUGAAGGGUUUGUUUCCAACAGGGAGCAGUCCUAUGAAGAUCCUAUCGAGGAGUUGCUGUAUGCAGUUUUUGUUGUUUCAAGUGAGAAUGCAACUGUUGUUGAAUUGGCAACAACUCUACAGGCUGACCUUUUGCAGCUGCAGGCUGCUGCAUCUUUUGCAUGUCGACUGGGAUGGGCAGUAAAAGUAAUUGAUCCAGCAUCUGUUCUUCAAGAUACAAGCAUUGCUAGCUCUCUUAGGGCUACUCUUAGUGAUGAAGAUGGUUCUAGUGCUAGUCUAGACUCAGCAAACAUUUUUGUUGAUGGUGAUGUUUCUCAACAAGGAGAUGUUUUGGAGAAAGAAAACAAUGGGCCCAUUUCUGCCCAUGCUCGUGUUGCUUUUGUGGUUGAUGCUAAUAUAACAUCCUAUCUUAUGAUGGGGUCUGUUUCACCAGACUGCACUGUGAAGAGGGAAGCAGCCUUCUUCAGAACUUGAAUAUGAUCCUUCUAUAUGCUGGAGACAAAUUUCCAUGAACUCAGCCUCUCAUGCUG